GAUGAACGCUGGCGGCGUGCUUAACACAUGCAAGUCGAACGGUGAAGCAGAGCUUGCUCUGUGGAUCAGUGGCGAACGGGUGAGUAACACGUGAGCAACCUGCCCCUGACUCUGGGAUAAGCGCUGGAAACGGCGUCUAAUACUGGAUAUGAGCUGCGACCGCAUGGUCAGCCGUUGGAAAGAUUUUUCGGUCUGGGUUGGGCUCACGGCCUAGCAGCUUGUUGGUGACGUAAUGGCUCACCAAGGCGUCUACGGGAAGCCGGCCUGAGAGUGUGACGCGCAAAAAUGGAACUGUGCCAGGGCCCAGACUGCUGCGGGAGGCAGCAGUGGUAAUGCUUGCGAGAGGGGCGGUGGCCAGAUGCAGCAUGGCCGCGUGGGGGAUGACGGACUUCGGAUUGUAAACCUCUUUUAGAAAGGAAGAAGCGAAAGUGACGGUACCUGCAGAAAAAGCGACGGCUAACUACGUG
rnacentral:rRNA from 1 species